rnacentral:lncRNA from 1 species
GUAAAUAUUACUAAAGGUGGAAAUUAAACUGGAAGCAUGAUUCGAAUUUGACAAUAAAAGCAAGCUUGAUUAUGUGACUAUGUUUAACACUAUAUAUGAACAAAUUUAACAUUAUUUUCAGAUUACUUCGAACUAAUGUUAAUCACCCUAGUAACUCACACAUCAUAACAAAACUACUGAAUAGCAGAUUGAAAACACAAAUCCAUUUUAACCUAUUUUUAUAACUACUGAAAACAAAUCAAACGCUAACUCUCACGAAUCUGAAAGGUACUGUCUAUACAGUCCAUUACAGUACAAACGAUUAGACAGUCCUAAUAGUCCAGAAGUAGUUCCAAUUUAACAGGUGUAUCACAAACAAAUUAACUAAAGCUAUAUAACUACAUAUCAUUUGCUAGACUACAAUAAUAAGCAUCAUACCAGCGUAGAUCUGGAGGCUGAUUUCAUUUCAUUCAAAUUCAAAACUACAUCAGUGAGAAUUCAAAUGUGUAGCUGAAAUUCGAAGUGAAAUAAGAAAAGGAGAGGUCAACAGUAGUAUGAGAAACACAAUUUCAAAUAGGAACAGAAUAGUAACAUCUAUUUCAGCUUGAAUCUCGUAAAGCCAACAUAAAAAAUCCCAGCAAAUAAACCCAGAAAUCAAACAGAGGCACUUGAAAAUGAUCUACACAGCUCAAAUACACCCACACUAACUUGAACUGGAACCAGUACACCUCUAUAGCUUCAACCAACCGCUAUUGUAAUCGAAAAUGUGAAACAACUACAACUGAUCGAAAUUAGCCUAGGAAUUUGAGUAAAACAAUACUUUUUUGAAUUUUCUGUAGUUUUUGAAUCUGAAAUUCCAAUCUGGAUUCUGGAAACUAUAUUGGUUUUUGCGGGGUAUUCUAGAAGCUAAAAAAACUUUUGACUUAAGGCAAGUCAGCUGCCUUUUAUAGGCAAACUAAAAGGGGAAGCUUCUAGAUCUUGUCCAUACUUUUUCCCCCUUUUUUAUUUCAAAUUUAAUUUAAUAGUCCCUAAUUUACUAACUUAUUACUCAAGUUAGUGCACCUAAACUUCUAAAAUUCCACCUAAAGUUCUAUUAUUGAAGAUUCUAGAUGAUUCUAGUGUAACCAACAUCAUUCUUUCUAUCUUAGAAUACCUAAAUUGACCUUGAAUACCCCUAAAAUUAUCAACUUCAGUUAACUAAUCCAACCCAUGACUAACUAAAGAUCUAAUUUACCCAGUUGUAAUCAGAUUAGCUAAAAUAAUCGUAAUAACUACUUCAACAAAUGUUGAAUUUACAGAACAAAAACCUACUUAACUAAUUCCAAUAGCUACUAGUUGCUAAUUACUGAAUUACUACUAAACAAAUACUGUUUGGAAACACAAAAUCAACUAUUGAAAGCCUAACUAAUACUAAUCCAAUUAGAUCCCGAAGAAAAUACUAUAAACAACUACAUCAGAAUUGAAUCGAAUCCUAUUUAAACUACCAAUUCGAACUAAUCAAAAUCAACCAAUGCUUAACAAUUAAACUAACAAAACGAAAAUCAAAAUUAAGCUAACAUGAACCAAUUAACUAAAUAGAUGAAAAUUAAUCCAAAGAAUUAAACGCCCUAGGUCUGAUGAUUCAAACCGAAUUGGAAGCAAAGCCAAACAAUUGCAUCACAGAUAAUCAAACACAUAAAAAAAAGAAAGAAAGAAAUUAAAAAGAAAACUCAUUGAUUUUCAGACUCCGCAAGAAUGCCUUUCGAAAAUGACUUCCAGCUAAUAUUAUAUGUCUAUUUCGUCAAAAAUAGGCCUAUAAUAUUAACGAGAACUCACUCGACCUUGAAACUUAUCAAAAUAUGCUCGAACCGUAUGAACCCUAGAUCAUAAUUCAAUGAGUUUUACUCAGAUUCGAGAAAUUUUUGUUAGGAAUUAGGGGUGAGGAUGGCCAGGGGAGUGUAGGGUAUGAAUUUGGGGUCGUUUGGACAAAGUAAGGUUUUAGCCAUAUUUUUCAACUUAAGAUUUGAAGGGCUAGGUGAUGAUUCGAGGGAAACGAACCAUAGAUUAGGAAUGAGGGGAGUGAGGGGGGUUCGGGGUGUUAACCUGGGGUCGAACAGAUGUCGGCGCCGCCAUCGCCGCCGGUGGAAUUUGGGGGUGGCGAGCUAUUAUGGUUCUUGUAAAAGGGGUAU